GGGCCAUUAGCUCAGUUGGUUAGAGCAACCGGCUCAUAACCGGUCGGUCCUGGGUUCGAGUCCCCGAUGGCCCACCA
rnacentral:tRNA from 6 species